rnacentral:rRNA from 1 species
GAAAUGACUCUCGGCAACGGAUAUCUCGGCUCUCGUCACGAUGAAGAACGUAGCGAAAUGCGAUACUUAGUGUGAAUUGCAGAAUCCCGUGAAUCAUCAAGUCUUUGAACGCAAUUUGCGCCCGAGGCCUUGGCUGAGGGCACGUUUGUCUGGGCGUCGCAU